rnacentral:rRNA from 1 species
GCAGUCGACGAUGAUGCCCACUUGUGGGUGGAUUAGUGGCGAACGGGUGAGUAACACGUGAGUAACCUGCCCUUGACUCUGGGAUAAGCCUGGGAAACUGGGUCUAAUACCGGAUAUGACCUUCCAUCGCAUGGUGGUUGGUGGAAAGCUUUUUGUGGUUUUGGAUGGACUCGCGGCCUAUCAGCUUGUUGGUGAGGUAAUGGCUUACCAAGGCGACGACGGGUAGCCGGCCUGAGAGGGUGACCGGCCACACUGGGACUGAGACACGGCCCAGACUCCUACGGGAGGCAGCAGUGGGGAAUAUUGCACAAUGGGCGCAAGCCUGAUGCAGCGACGCCGCGUGAGGGAUGACGGCCUUCGGGUUGUAAACCUCUUUCAGUAGGGAAGAAGCGAAAGUGACGGUACCUGCAGAAGAAGCGCCGGCUAACUACGUGCCAGCAGCCGCGGUAAUACGUAGGGCGCAAGCGUUAUCCGGAAUUAUUGGGCGUAAAGAGCUCGUAGGCGGUUUGUCGCGUCUGCCGUGAAAGUCCGGGGCUCAACUCCGGAUCUGCGGUGGGUACGGGCAGACUAGAGUGAUGUAGGGGAGACUGGAAUUCCUGGUGUAGCGGUNAA